UGCGGCUAUUGUCCAGCCUGGUAGGAUUCGAGAUUCCCAAUCUCGCGACCCGGGUUCAAAUCCCGGUAGCCGCAU
rnacentral:tRNA from 1 species